UAAUUACUGGAGGAAGUGUAAUCAAUAUUACUUUUAUAAUUCAAAUUACAGGAUACAACCACAGAUUUUAGGGACAAAAACAGUAUCUGAGGCUAAACAGAGGAGACAUCAUCCGCCCUUUGUUUCAAUCUAUUAUAUCUCUAGCAGGGCUGAGGCAAUAUUAAAACAGCCGGGUUAGGAAACAAAACAAUUAAAGAAAAGUUAACAGAAGAAUAAAAAAAGCAAGGAAUUGGCCAGACUGAACAUCAAAGGUGAGCUAAUAUUUGAUCGCGAUACGAUUUUUCAGGUUCUAACAAAUCACGUGACGAUCUGCGAGGUUCUCAGAAUUAUUUCAACAUUCCUUAAAUUUAUUGCCGCGUGUUUUGCAGGUUAUAUUGAGAUCGUUACAAUUUUAUUGUAACCUAUGCUCAUUACAAUUGCAAAUGAAACCGUUUAUUUUGUUACCUUCUUCAGUUUAAUAGAACAAAUAGAUUUGUUCAUGUCAUUUUUAUAGAGAUAUAAAAGUCAGUGUCUAUCUUUCCAUUUGUCUCCCCUUGUUAUAUUCCCGUUCUGUUGCUUUAAUGACAUUUAUACGACAUACUUAUUUUCACCAUCGACAAUUUUAAUACACCUGAUAUAUAUGUCAUCAUGACAAAAAUGAAAUCAGCUGGAAAAAUUUCAUUUUUAAAUUUCUGUGUAAUUUUAUUUAUUGCCCUCUUCUGAAAUAUCUAUUCAAAUGCAUACGAAACUAUGUUGAUAUGUUAAUCUCUUGGAUAAUCAGUUUAUCAUUGGAAUGGUGAAGAUUAGAGACGAGUUUAAAAUUAUAUUAUGUAAGAAAUACAAAGGGGGUAAAUUGCUUACCUUAUUAUCAGCUCAGAAACAUUUUACCUCCAGGAAACCUAGGAAAAAUUUAGCAUAUAUCUUUGAUACGUUGACGACCCAUCGGGGGCCUUAUACUGUGUCAAUUGUCUCUUUUACACUAACCCCUUUUCCAUUCCCUCAUCUUUAUUUAUCAACCAAGGGAAGGUUUCCCGGAUAGUUUUGCGACCGCAAUGUCAUUUUUCAAACAUGAGAAGGACAGAUGCUGCUAGUGGUACAAAAACUGUAACACCAACUGGAGCACAUCAGUUUACCCAUGGUAUUUGAUGGGAUGCGUAUUGCUCAACCCUCAAUCAAAGUUUUCGGGGAAGUUUGUUGCGUGGUUUUUUUUUGUGAUUUUGUCGGUUUAGUUUUGGCCAUGGUUUUGUCUUUUUUUUGUUUUGGCCAUGGUUUUUGCUUUUUUUUUUGUUUUGGUCAUGGUUUUGUCUUUUGUGUUUUGUUUUGGCCAUGGUUUUGUCUUUUUUUGUCAUGGUUUUGUCAUGGUUUUGUGUUUUGUUUUAGCCAUGCUUUUGCUUUUUUUUUGGUUUUGGUCAUGGUUUUGUCUUUUUUGUUUGGUCAUGGUUUUAUCUUUGUUUAUUUGACUUUCAUGUUUUCUAUUGUAACUUAGUUUUCCCUUUUUUAUUUUAAAUAUUAUUUUUUUAAAUUUCAACAGGCGACAAAGUGGAAAUGUAUACAGCAAUAUCUACAACUGAAAUAUACAGAUAUAGAACAGCUGUGAACUUGCACUUAAACAUGCAGACAAGAAACGGCCCUGAAUAUGCGCGCACUAUUUAACAAGGAACUAAGACCAAUAAAAAGCGAAUUAAUAAACAGACAUAGGUAAUACAUAAAAC
rnacentral:lncRNA from 1 species